GAAAAUCCCAGCACAUUGUUUUCGGGGAAAUUCAAAUUGAAAUUAAAACAAGUGCAAGUGUUUUUGUGUUUUUUUUAAUAAUUCUUUUUGCGGAUUCUUUUUGUUUUUUGGUAUCAGCGAAUUUUCGUUGUUGUGAGUAUUUUUAGCGUGCCUACAUAUAUAUAUGUGUGAGUGAGUGCAAGUGUGUGUAGUUUUGUGCAGUGCAGCAAGCACAACAAUUGAAAACGAUUUAACAAGAAAUUGGCAAAAAGCAAAAACAAAACAAAAGAAAAAACGUAACACAAAUUGAAAGCUUCUGCAGCGACAUUUCCGUUACGUAAGCACACAACGAAGACGACAAAGAGAGUGAGAGAGAGAGAGAGAGAGCGUAGCUAACAAAAAGGAAGCUUAACGAAGGAUUGCAUCCGAAACGGGACAACACACACACACACACACGCAUACAAACGCACACCAUCACACUCACACAUGCGCAGUGUGUGCUUUGGUAGUGGUAGCAAAAGAGGCCCCAACAAUAACAAACACAGCUAAGAGCGUGUUAAGAGAGCGUGCAUUAAAAGAGAGAACGAGAGAGAGUUGCAAUUGACAUUUUGGACAUGGCUUUCUCACGUCACAACAUCGAAAAGCGCCGACUCAUCGAGCUAGUGCGCCUUAAUCCCAUACUCUGGGACUGCCGACUGCCCCACUACAAACGCUCCGAUAAGAAAAAAGCUCUCAAAUGGAACGAACUCGGCCGCAUGUUCAACGUCAACGGGGAGCGAGUGCAACGCACCUUCACUUCACUUCGUGAGAUCUUUCGCCGCGAACUCAACCACGAGAAGAUGCUCGGCACAUCGCGCUUUAAGUCCAAGUGGGAAUACUACGACGCCAUGGCAUUCCUCAAAGAGGUCAUCAGAGAGCGCAAAUCUCGUGAGCGCAUCAAGCACAGUUCUGUCGAAGGUUCCUCAGGUACCCACAACAACAACAACAGUGGCAACAACAACAACACAAACAACAACAACUCGAACAACAGCAACAACAACAACAGCGUGGGACACGAUGAGUAUCAAUAUUUUGCGCCCAGCGAUCCGAAUAAUCCCAACAAUCAGGCCAACAAAGCGACGAAUGUUGUGGCCAACAUUCAAGCUGCGCCAAUUCUGCCGAGCAUCAGCCAGUUGCCGGUGGCGUUGCAGCAACAGGCGAAGCAUUUGCAGGCGUUGCAACUGCAACCAGAUGUGACGCUGACAUCGUUGAGUGUGCUGCAAAAGGCGACGCCACCAACAACAGCAACAGCAUCAGCAGCAGCAGUAGUUGCCACAACUGUAGCGCCACCAACGACGGCGACACCAAUGACAACAGCUGCAGCAACGACGCCGCCUGGCCACGUCCAGCUUUGCAGCAGCUCGAGAUCCUGCAGCAGCUCUCCCUCCAUUUACAUCAAGGACGAGCCCGAUUCGCAGGACGAAACGGGACGCAAAUCACAGCAAAAGUUGGCAACAAUACGACCGCAAACAAAGCAGCAACUCAAAGCGCGUCUGCGGGUGGCUAAAGUCGGUGGCACAACGCCGUUGUAUGCCACACCGCCACCGCAUUUGAUUAUCAACACCAACAACGAGUUGAUCGAUGUGGAUGCUGGCGAUUGCAUCGAUGAUGAGGACGAUGAUCUCGAGUACGAGGAUGAUGAUGAUCUAGAUGAUGAUGAUCGUGCUGCUCCCUGUCCGCCCAUUGUCGAUGUGGACAUGAUGGGUGCGGGGGGUCGUCUCUCGCCAGGCAGCAGCAGCUUCACAGCAGCGGGCGUCAUUGGCACGCCGCGUCAUCAGCCGAGUCCCAGGGAGAUGCUCUACAUUAAGUUCGGCGACUUUUUGGCCGCACGACUGAAUACUCUGCAUGAGACGGCGGCCAACGAACUGAUGAACAAGAUUCUCCUGCUGAUAGCUGAGAAGUAAACUAAAGCUGUUGCGUGCUCUUCAAGCAGCGAAAGUCGAGGGAUCUAAUCCACAGUCAACUCCAUUAAUUGAGUCUGUAUUUGUGCCAUAGAAGACAAACUAUUUUAUACUAUGAUUAUUUAUUAAGUAAAAUAAAAAAUAUAAAUGGAUUGUAUUUGUAAUAAAAAAAAAUGCAGUUUCCAUAUUGUAAAUAAUUAUAACAAUAUUAUAUUUCAACUCUGACAAUACUUGAGUUUAACUGAUAAAUCCUGCUGCAUGAACAAAGUAUAA